GCCCUUCAAAAAUUUACGCCCGCCACCUAUAUUAAGGGGGUCGGGAAACCGACUAUGGCGAUAAACGGCUUCGUAAUAAGCGGCCCGGACCCGGGGGCGGUACCCGGCGCCUCCACCAAUUCCUCCCGGAGGGAGGAAUUGCCCGGCAUAGCCCGAAGGGCGACGACGGGCCGACAUGGGGGCGAAACAGGAUCGACGGACGUGUAAAGGUUGUCCUUUCGCUCGGUAUGAUAUCCGCCGUUAUCGGGUCAAUCGUACAGGUGCCAACGAUAACGAAAUGGCCCUCGCUGCCUAACUUCUAGUUAGACAAGCGCGGUUUUGGGAUGUGUACCGGGCAACAGAAACACAUCCCG
rnacentral:tmRNA from 1 species